UACAGAGGUCUCAAGCGUUGUUCGGAUUCAUUGGGCGUAAAGGGUGCGUAGGCGGCGCGGUAAGUCGGGUGUGAAAUCUCGGGGCUUAACUCCGAAACUGCAUUCGAUACUGCCGUGCUUGAGGACUGGAGAGGAGACUGGAAUUUACGGUGUAGCGGUGAAAUGUGUAGAGAUCGGGAGGAACACCGGUGGCGAAGGCGGGUCUCUGGGCAAUUCCUGACGCUGAGGCGCGAAAGCGUGGGGAGCAAACGGG
rnacentral:rRNA from 1 species